UACGAAGGGGGCUAGCGUUGCUCGGAAUCACUGGGCGUAAAGGGCGCGUAGGCGGCGUUUUAAGUCGGGGGUGAAAGCCUGUGGCUCAACCACAGAAUGGGCCUUCGAUACUGGGACGCUUGAGUAUGGUAGAGGUUGGUGGAACUGCGAGUGUAGAGGUGAAAUUCGUAGAUAUCGGGAGGAACACCAGUGGCGAAGGCGGCGAUCUGGGUCGAUACUGACGCUGAGGUGCGAAAGCGUGGGGAGCAAACAGG
rnacentral:rRNA from 1 species